rnacentral:rRNA from 1 species
GACGAACGCUGGCGGCGUGCUUAACACAUGCAAGUCGUACGGUAAGGUCCUUUCGGGGGUACACGAGUGGCGAACGGGUGAGUAACACGUGAGUAACCUGCCCACAACUUUGGGAUAACGCUAGGAAACUGGUGCUAAUACUGGAUAUGUGCUCCUGCUGCAUGGUGGGGGUUGGAAAGCUCCGGCGGCUGUGGAUGGACUCGCGGCCUAUCAGCUUGUUGGUGGGGUAGUGGCCUACCAAGGCGGCGACGGGUAGCCGGCCUGAGAGGGUGACCGGCCACAUUGGGACUGAGAUACGGCCCAGACUCCUACGGGAGGCAGCAGUGGGGAAUAUUGCACAAUGGGCGCAAGCCUGAUGCAGCAACGCCGCGUGCGGGAUGACGGCCUUCGGGUUGUAAACCGCUUUCAGCAGAGAAGAAGCUUUUUGUGACGGUACCUGCAGAAGAAGCACCGGCUAACUACGUG